UACGUAGGGUGCAAGCGUUAAUCGGAAUUACUGGGCGUAAAGCGUGCGCAGGCGGUUUUGCAAGGCAGAUGUGAAAUCCCCGGGCUUAACUCGGAACGGUCAAGUGAUACUGUCGGGCUAGAGUGCAGAAGGGGCAACUGGAAUUCUCGGUGUAGCGGUGAAAUGCGUAGAUAUCGAGAGGAACACCUGCGGCGAAGGCGGGUUGCUGGGCUGACACUGACGCUGAGGCGCGAAAGCCAGGGGAGCGAACGGG
rnacentral:rRNA from 1 species